rnacentral:rRNA from 1 species
CAGUAGGGAAUCUUCCACAAUGGACGAAAGUCUGAUGGAGCAACGCCGCGUGAGUGAAGAAGGGUUUCGGCUCGUAAAACUCUGUUGUUAAAGAAGAACAUAUCUGAGAGUAACUGUUCAGGUAUUGACGGUAUUUAACCAGAAAGCCACGGCUAACUACGCGCCAG